ensembl:miRNA
GCUCUGUUUCCUGAGAGAAACAGGAAAGUCCUACCACUGUCGUCCUCGGAGACCAUGGAGCUAGGCCUCAGGGACAGGAGAGAUGGAGGCUGGCUCUCGGGGCGCAGGGCUGAGUGGCAGA